GGCGACCUGGCAGAGUGGUCUAAUGCGAUGGACUUGAAUCACGUCGGCUCCCGACUAUCAAUCCAUUUCCCUUUGGGAGCACAGGUUCGAAUCCUGUGGUCGUCG